rnacentral:lncRNA from 1 species
UUCUUGGGCAUUCAUUGGUUUGUUUUCUAUUCACACCAACCCAUUACACUAAAACACCUAUUAAUUUGUUCUCAAGCAUAAAUGUGUUUAGUUGAACAAAGAAAAUAAAAACUACACAAAAUAUUAUUUUAAUAGAGAAAAACAUCUAAUUGACACAAUAAACCAAAAAUUAUAAUUUAUUUAAAAUGACUCUAAAUUAAACAUUAAACUAAUAAAAUGAUAUUAAAAACUUAAUUAAAAAGACUCUAAAAAUAGCGACGGAUGAAGACUCAUCA